ensembl:lncRNA
GGAAAGUGUCCAACAUGCUGUCGGCGUUUCCGACCCGCCUGGCUCAAUCGCUGGGGGCAGAGGUCGACGGACCUCAGAGAGCAAAGGUAUCCGGGCAGAGCCUGACGCAGAGUGUGUGUGUAUGUGUGUGUGUGCUUCCAGAUCGGCCACAGGUCUCAGAGUGUGUGUGUAUGUGUGUGUGUGCUUCCAGAUUGGCCACAGGUCUCAGAGUGUGUGUGUGUGUGUGUGUGUGUGUGUGCUUCCAGAUCGGCCACAGGUCUCAGAGUGUGUGUGUGUGUGUGUGUAUGUGUGUGUGUGCUUCCAGAUCGGCCACAGGUCUCAGAGUGUGUGUGUGUGUCCAUGUGUGUGUGUGCUUCCAGAUCGGCCACAGGUCUCAGAGUGUGUGUGUGUGUGUGUGUGUGUGUGUGCUUCCAGAUCG